UAAAAAAUUAUAUUCUGAGUCUGGGGAUAUAAUAGAAUUUUUAUGUAGAUGGGGUCAUCAUCCAGCUCCGUCUUCCCCUCCAUUCAGAGCACAAUGUAUAGAUGGCACAUAUGAAUACCCACGAUGCAUAUGAUGUUAACUGUAAUGUGAAAAGGACGCAAGAGAUGAAUGGUACAGAGGUUAUUUUUAUGCAAAAAACAAAUUUUUUGCUCAAAAUACAAAGAUUUUGCACAAAAUAUUAUUGCUGUGUAAUGACUAACUGGGGAAAUUUUCAUAAAAGUAGUCCCAAUCUGAUGGGAGAAAGCCAUCAUAUCUAAAAAGUGCAGAUUCAAGGAAUUGGGAGAAGCCUACAACAGAGAUUUUUUUAAACCAACAUGUCACCAUCAGAAACCAUAGAAUAAUUAUCUGUAAUAGUAUAAAAUUAAUCUAGAAUUUUGCAAAUUCAUUUUUCAAGGAUUAUGUGCAACUGCUCUUAAUGGAUUGUGGCCCUUACAUUGAACAUGUACUUUAUAGAAGACACAACUCCGAUAUUAAUAAAGUUCUAAGAAGCAUAGAUCUUGUUCAAAAUUCCAUUUCAAACAGGGAAAAUUUAUUGAAAGAAGGAAAGAAUGCACCAGAAGCUGAGAAUGCAUGUCCUUUGCAAGUGAACUAGUAAUGGGGACUAACAGUCCUAAAUAAUACAGUAGCUGUAUGUAUUUUCAGUAGUUAUUUUUUGUCUGUAAGAAUUUUGUGCAUUUUGAAAGCAUAAAAACAUCUAUGUGCAAUUUUUCCCUUACUGUUGAUGCUACUGCUGCUAAAACAAACAAACAAAAAACUACA